GGAGGUAAAGCACUGAAUAGCCUAGCGGCCGAGAGGUUAGCGAAGCUUAUCAAACUCAGAAUGCCAGAGUAUUGAUGCUUGGGAGUCAGACAGUGUCAGAUAAAUGUCAUUGUCAAAAGGGAAACAGCCCAGAUCUACAGCUAAGGUCCCAAAUUGUAUCUAAGUGGAAAACGAUGUGGAAAUACGCAGACAACCAGGAUGUUGGCUCAGAAGCAGCCACUCAUUCAAAGAGUGCGUAAUAGCUCACUGGUCGAGCGUCUUUGCGCGGAGAAUUUAACGGGGCUAAACCUGACACCGAAGCUUAGGCAGCAUGUUUACAUGCUGGGUAGGGGAGCGUUGUAUACGCGGUGAAACAGUAGCGCAAGCGGCUGUGGAGUGUAUAGAAGUGAGAAUGCCGGAAUGAGUAGCGCGAAUGCAGUGAGAAUCUGCAUGGCCGAAAGCCUCAGGUUUCUGGAGGAAGGUUCGUCCGCUCCAGGUUAGUCGGGAGCUAAGGUGAGGCCUAACGGCGUAGCCGAUGCACAGACGGUAGAGAUUCCGUCACCACCAAAAGAGUUAAGCACAGGGACACAUAUGAAGUCUCGGAGCCGGGUGUUGGUUCCGGUAGCGAUCGAGGGAAGUUAGUACCGAAGUCCGGGAUGGAAGAUGGCGAGAAAAGCUGUGUGUAUUUCUGCGGUGCCCGUACCGCAAACCGACACAGGUAGGUAGGAAGAAGAUUCUAAGGCCAACGGGAGAAGGGUUGUUAAGGAACUCGGCAAAUUGACCCCGUAACUUCGGGAGAAGGGGUGCUGCAGCAAUGCAGCCGCAGAGAAUCGGCCCAAGCAACUGUUUACCAAAAACACAGGUUUGUGCUAAAUCGAAAGAUGACGUAUACGAGCUGACGCCUGCCCGGUGCUGGAAGGUUAAGAGGAGAUGUGCAAGCAUUGAAUCGAAGCCCCAGUGAACGGCGGCCGUAACUAUAACGGUCCUAAGGUAGCGAAAUUCCUUGUCAGGUAAGUUCUGACCCGCAUGAAAGGCGUAAUGAUUUGGGCACUGUCUCAACAGCCCGCCCGGCGAAAUUGUAGUACCGGUGAAGAUGCCGGUUACCCGCGACAAGACGGAAAGACCCCAUGGAGCUUUACUGUAGCCUAAUAUUGGGUUUCGAUGUUGCAUGCACAGGAUAGAUGGGACACUGGGAAGCAGGUGCUUUGGCGCUUGUGGAGUGGCCGUUGGGAUACCAUCCUUGCGAUAUUGGAAUUCUAACCUGCGCCUUUGAAUCAAGGCGGGGGACAUUGUUAGGUGGGCAGUUUGACUGGGGCGGUCGCCUCCUAAAGAGUAACGGAGGCGUUCAAAGGUUCGCUCAGCUUGAACGGAAAUCAAGCAAAAGAGUGCAAACGCAGAAGCGAGCCUAACUGCGAGACUGACGGGUCGAGCAGUAACGAAAGUUGGAGUUAGUGAUCCGGUGGUAUGUGAGUGGAAAUGCCAUCGCUCAACGGAUAAAAGUUACCCUGGGGAUAACAGGCUGAUCUCCCCCAAGAGUCCACAUCGACGGGGAGGUUUGGCACCUCGAUGUCGGCUCAUCGCAUCCUGGGGCUGUAUUCGGUCCCAAGGGUUUGGCUGUUCGCCAAUUAAAGCGGUACGCGAGCUGGGUUCAGAACGUCGUGAGACAGUUCGGUCCCUAUCUGUCGUGGGCGCAGGAUAUUUGAUGGGAGCUGUUCCUAGUACGAGAGGACCGGAGCGGACGUACCUCUGGCGCACCAGUUGUUCUGCCAAGAGCAUAGCUGGGCAACUAUGUACGGAUCGGAUAAACGCUGAAAGCAUCUAAGCGUGAAGCCGACCCAAAGAUAAGAUAUCCCAUUGUUUCAAACAAGUAAGACCCCUUGAAGACUACAAGGUUGAUAGGCACGAUGUGUAAGUGGAGCGAUCCAUUCAGCAAGCGUGUACUAAUAGGUCGAGGGCUUGACCAC
rnacentral:rRNA from 1 species